GAAAUGCGAUAAGUAAUGUGAAUUGCAGAAUUCAGUGAAUCAUCGAAUCUUUGAACGCACAUUGCGCCCGCCAGUAUUCUGGCGGGCAUGCCUGUCCGAGCGUCAUUUCAACCAUCAAGCCCCCGGGCUUGUGUUGGGGACCUGCGGCUGCCCGCAGGCCCUGAAAACCAGUGGCGGGCUCGCUGUCACACCGAGCGUAGUAGCAAUCACCUCGCUCAGGGCGUGCUGCGGGUUCCGGCCGUUAAACAGCCUUACAAAACCCAAGGUUGACCUCGGAGCAGGUAGGAAGACCCGCUGAACUUAAGC
rnacentral:misc_RNA from 1 species